GUUAAAUGUUGAACUAGAAAAGUAUCAAGAUAAAGUCCGAACUUGAAGAAUCAGAUUGAUGCUACAGAUGAUUGCCACACUGUCACGGAGGAUUCCGGAGUUGGAGAUGCAAAGUUAAUUCAUCAAACGGCCAAAAGCGAUGCUAAACCUCACGUCCCAAGCUGGACACGAUCAGAAAUUCACGCUGUAGCACCUUUACUCAAGGCCUACCAAGAAUCUUUAGAUGAGAAAGAUGAGCUAAUUCAAAAUUAUCAAAAAAGCCUUGAUACUUUUGCAGGACGUUGCAAAGAAAUAGUUGCAGAAAAUGAGAAAUUACAUGCUGAGUUGCAAGGUGCCUACAAAAAGGGCGAAGUGUCUUAUGCAGAAUGGGAGUCUGUACAACAAGAUGCUGCAUUUACACGUGAGCAGAACGUUCUACUUAUGCGGCAAGCAAAACUCCAUCAGAACAAAAUUAAAGAACUCCGGGAAAUUUAUCAAACUAAUUUGGCAGAAAUAGCUGUUGAUAGAGAUCAGCUUCAAGAAAAAUGGCAAACAGCGAGGUCUGAACUCCUUGUACUCAGGGGACGUUUCAGUGUUCUAUCCGAUGAGCAUGACAAACUGAAGGAGGAACAUGACUCAAGAGUACCCGCUGCUGUUCAUACAGCUGCAGUCACUGAGGUUAAAAGGCUAUUUGAGGAAUUAAAAACAAGAUACGAAGAAGAAAGGGAAACGCUUUGUCGAAAGGUAGCAACUUUGGAAUGCGAUAGGCCUCAAUUAGAUUCACAAGUUACAACCCUGACAAUCGAACGCAGUCAAUUUCAGCAGCAGACCAAAAUGUUGGAACAUCAACUGAAGCUUUACAAAGCAAAAUGUGAUCAACUUCAAAAGCAUGUAAAAUCCAUGGAGCUGUCUCGCAUUGCUGCCAAAAGGCACUUAAUCAGGGUCAUGACUUUUGCAAGAGAGAUUAUUGCCGAACAGGAAGAGUUUGGGUCAAAAUCCAGUAAUCCUGGUCAAGAUGCUCACCUCAAUGCCAAAGUUGAAAGUCUUCGAAGACAGUUAAGAGAAGUUGAGGAUAGUGUCAGUAAGGAACUGGAAUUUUUGGAUGAGAAACUCCGGGCCAAAGCGACUGGGUUAAACGCAAUGAAACGGGCUUGGAACAAGAAUUGCAGUGUCUUCAAGCAGAGGUGAGACAGAGGGAUGACGUGAUCACUGAGCUCAAAAAACAAAGUGAUCAAAAGUCUGUGGAUGGAUUACACAAUAAUGGUAAAACAAAUAAUGCCAUUAGAGGAAAUUUUCAGCCCCCUCCCGAGAAAGCAAUUUCUUGAUAGGGUAAGUAAGGAAAUCAAUUUAUCUCAACUAAUUGCAUAUAGAAAAGUAUUCAUUUAGAGAUACUAGUGUGUCUGUAAGUAUUAUGUAUGACGCUGUCGAAAAUUAUGCAUAGAAAUCUGCAAUUUUGGCUGUGCAGAAUUUGAAUGUGCCUAAUUUUUUUCUUUUUCUUUUCUUCUCUUUCUUUCUAAAAAUCUACAAACUUUAUAGAUUUGUUUGUACUUCAUAUUAAACAUUUAAUUUACUCA
rnacentral:lncRNA from 1 species